UCGGCACCGGUGGAGCAUGUGGUUUAAUUCGAAGCAACGCGCAGAACCUUACCAGCUCUUGACAUUCGGGGUAUGGUCAUUGGAGACGAUGUCCUUCAGUUAGGCUGGCCCCAGAAGAGGUGCUGCAUGGCUGACGACAGCUCGUGUCGUGAGAUGUUGGGUUAAGGCCCGCAACGAGCGAAACUCUGGCCCUUAGUUGCGAGCAUUUAGUUGGGCACUCUAAGGGGACUGCCGGUGAUAAGCCGAGAGGAAGGUGGGGAUGACGUCAAGUCCUCAUGGCCCUUACGGGCUGGGCUACACACGUGCUACA
rnacentral:rRNA from 1 species